rnacentral:lncRNA from 1 species
GGUGAAAGGAAACAAAAUCUGGUUGAACAUUAACCCCAAUUUUCUUUUCCAAAAGUCUUAGUUGGGAAGAUCUGUUUGUAACACUGUACUUAGAGAUACUGCUGAAGGUCUCCAUACCAGAUGGGCACAUAACAGCCGCGGGCACAGCCUGCCAUGCUUCUCACUCCCAUGGCAGUCUCCAUCCUGCACUGCAGCAGCUAUGGAGUAAUGCAAGCAGAACACACCAAGAGGCUUUGGAAAUUUAUUCCAUCUGUUGUGUUGUGUUUUGGCUGAAGAACAGUCCAAGUCCUAUCACUCAUGGUUACGGGAUUGUGCGCUCUUACGACUCCUGCAACUAAUAGCAGGUUACAACAGUAGGAAUCCUUUCCUGGCCACUUCCCAGUGCUUGCAGCCUUUCCUAGGGACUGCAGCGAUAUGCAGAGCUGCCCUGGCCCGACAGCCUGCUGGCUUGUCUCUGGCAGCAGGACACAGCACAUGUCUACAGGAAGAGAUAACAACAUGGCAGAUGCAUGGUGUGGUCUUCGGUCUUUUGUGGUUCAAUGACUUCCUGCGCCAGAAUCUCUUUCUAUGAGGCUACAUGCUAUCAAUAUAUCCUAGUGGAUUAAACAGUUCUUACAAUCCAUGUUUGAACCCAGCACUUAGGGACCUCUCCCAUGAACACUUCACCUUCAUAGCAGACAUUACAUUAGGGAUCCUGUUGGUGACUCAGCAGCGUCUCAUGCCAAUGAACUAAGUAACAGCAAUGAAUUCAAAGCCAGUUCUAAUGCACCAAAGAAAGAGAAUGGCAGACGUUUGGAUGAGGAGUAAUAGCACUGGACUCAGGCAAAUUUUGUUUGUCUACCCAACAUCACAGCAACGGACUGUCAAGCAUCCAGUGCACAAACCAUGUGAUUAACCUGGACAGCUAGGCAAAGUGAAAAUGGGUAUUUAUGCAGCACUGGAGGACCUGUGCUGCAUACUGAGCUGCCACUAUGUCUGUCAACACUCUCCUUUCCCAAGCCUUUUUGUCUCCAUGUUAAUUAUGUCUUUCAGCACUUCCUAAAGCUUUAGUGUAUUUUUCUUGUGUUCCUCCUCCAAUCUCCCUCUCGUCCCAUGACUCCCAUCCUGCCUACUUACUGUUCAUCUCUCAGCUGUUUCUGCAACACUGUCACAUGGCUGGGCUGAGUCAGGCAACCUGGGCCUAAGGACAAACCUGAGAGGAAAACUCGUCUUUCCAAACAUCAAAUUUUCUUCAUAAUCAGAAAAUCAGCAGUCCAUACCGAUGAUCCAAAAGGCAUUACAUAAAUAUUAUAUUACACUUUCUUCUUCCUGCUAGCAUCAUCAGAAUUUUUGCUAUAAUUGGUAAGUUUAGGCAAGACUUAAUGACCAGUAUAUUCCUAACAAAGUAUAUGAAGCAUCUCCCUGAAUUUGAGUAAUUUAAGGCAGUUCACACUAUCAAGAUUCACAGCACUAAAUCAAUCUCAUCUCCAUGUGCGAUAUUUUAUGCCUCCAGGUAUCUGUAUUUCUGAAUACAAAAUGCAUUUCUGUAUGCAAACAGAUCAGGUUUAUCUGAACAGCUUGCUGCCCUUUGUCUAUCCAAAAUGUCCUUUUCAGGUGCAAUGAUGCAUUCAGAAGCUCGACUGAGUAGCACUAAAAUUUCGUGAAAAUCUAUUUAGUGUGCAUUCGUAACGGAGCAGAUUUCUCCUCAGAUCCACUACCAACUAUUUGUCAAAUGGCUAUCCUAAGGAAAACAAACUAACAUGAUCCCAGAUCAAGACUUUUUUGCAACCAGAAUGAAUUUCACAUAAACUUUUGCCUGUCACUACUUAAUCACCAUUUAUUCACAGUAACUAUGCAUCGCUAUCUUAUGGUUGCUGUCCUUUCCUACAGAGAUGGGGGGUUCAGGACAUUAGUUCAUCUGUAGAUCCUAAGAAGUUAUCUCUCCCCCAGAAUAUGCAAUGUGUAGAAAAACCCUACGGAGCUGUUCCUCCUUUAGUGUCCACCAGGCUCCCCACAGUAUCCAGGAACAAUUAUGGAAAUAAUCGUUGUUCUAAGCGAAGGACUACACGAUGAUGCGUAAAGUUUAAUAACAAAAGCUUCCCCUGCUCCAUCCGUCUUGCUGUCAGCUAGACUGUGGCAGGAAGCACAAGGGGUUAAUGUCAAAAUACAUCCCCUGAUACCCCGAUUGCCUUUCCCUACCCAUUGUUUCCCAACUUCUUUUGAAUGGUCAGAAAUUUUCCGCUUGAGUAAACCAUCAACAGAGCUGGACCAAAUGGAAAAAUGAGUAGGACAAAAAUGAACCUUGCUGGUAAUACAGAAAGGAGACCUGGUUACAGAGCCACGCAUUUCUAGUGCUAGCAUUUAUUGUGAAAAUAGUGUAAUUAAACAAUGAUUUUUUUUCCCUCUUGCAGCAAAAAAUUGUUUGAGGAUAUCAACAUUUUGUAGAGUGCCAUAAAUCUGGUAAAUCUAGCUAUGGAUAACUCAGUACUCAGAAUGGAAAAGGAAUUAACCCAACUCUUUGGAAAGCUUUAAGAAAAAAGCUUUUCAAAAUAGAGCAUCACCGUGUUUUCCUCACACUGCUCCCAUCAGCUUUCCUUCAGCCUGAUGCUUGAUUUCAGAAGUAGCCUCUCUCACCAAUACAUGAGGGCUUCCCGUUCUUCCCUUCCGUUCUGAUCACACUUAGUAUUCUCAUAUUAGUGUGGGUAGCAAAAAAAAAUACAUUCUCACAAAAAACAAGAGUAGUGCAUUUCAGUUAUGGUUUUCUAUUGAUUCAGUUACACUUGAAUUGAUCUCAAAUUGUUUCAAGCAACUGUUCUGCACCCAAAACACCGCACGAACCACAGAAACCAGAUCAAUAGAUUUCAAGUGAAAUAAUUGUUUUCCUUUGUAAGACCCCAUUACUUCUUGAAUGAAGAACUGUUUGAUUGACCUCCAGGAAAGCAGCAGAUGUGAAUAAGCCAAGCACCUCAGGCCUUAUCAUUUAAAGGGAGGCCUUGAAAAUUACAGGAAAGUACAUGGCCAUGUGCUCGGGUAGCUGUGGGAAAUACACAGCUGGAGAAGCCACAAAGCUGCAUUCUACACGAACAAAAUGAGAGCAGUAGCACGUGGCAGAAGUGGCAGAAAUACACUUUUAGUCACCACAAACACACCAAAAAAAUGUUCUACUAGAUAAGAAAAAUGUUCAAGGAUUCUUGAGUGACUGAUUUUAUUUGCACAGUGUUAGCGUUAGUGAGCUUAUUGUCUGGCACUGAUAAAUGUCAUGUAGCUGUGCCCCUGGGCUCACGUCUGUCCCAGUGUGUUCCACAACUGUAGUGCUCUGUGAGUGCGGCCCUUUCCAGGCUGCCACAUUCAGACACACAAGGUAGAGGCAGUAGCCAAGAAAAUCAGGGUGACCUCAUUGGAUCUACCGGCAGGAUGCAGAUUUAUACCAGGUCACCAAUUCACUGGGGUGCCUAAGUGCUGUCAAACAGAGUAAGACAGACUCUUCUAGAGGCUGAGAGCAGGUUGAUGGGGCUACACUGACCCUAGCACAUGAAAUGCUAAUAGCAUCCCCAGGCCACACCUGCAGCAUCGCACUGGAGCCAUCCAGCUGCAGCCCUGCCUCUGUGUGCUCAGGACCUUCCCUCACCCACCUGCAACUGCACCUUUUGCAGGGAAAGGAGAGCCCAGAGAGCAUCCCCUGUCUACAGCUGUGGGCAAAAACAGGAAGGCUUCAAGAAGCCGUGCAGGAGUGAGACAAAGCAGUGCUGAAGGCAGCGGUGCCUGAGAUUAGGGCUGCGGUGUGGAAUGGAGCAGCUGGCCAGAAGGUUAGGACACCUAGAGAGCAUCACUACUGGAAGGUGAUGCUGCAGUAACAAACAUGACAGGCUGGACCUGUCAAUCUCAGCCCCAAAUACCACACUGUCAUCAUUAUAGAGGUUGAGAUGGCACAUGGCAGCAGCAAAGUUACUGCUUAGGUAAUGCAAAUGUGGGUGUUCCCCCAGCGGGUGGCAAUAUGAUGUUACAGAAAACACAUGUGCAGCUACUCAUAAAUUGCAGUUUUCAUCAGCAGUUCUACUUGUAGAUAAUUCCUGCCCUCAGUUGAUGCUUCCCCCACAAAAAAAGUAGGAAAGCAGAAUACAGUGGUGAUAUUUUGUGGUCCUCAGACAAAUGCUGCUCUCCCUAGUAACAGUCCUCCUGGUAUUGGAAAUCUUUAUUUCUUCUAAUUAUAUUGCAAAUAAAUUAAAUGAUCGCGUUAUACCAUAGUAUGUUUUUGUAGGGAAGUCUUGGUUAGCUCUUAGCACAUAUUAGACCUGAUCUGCGCUUUACUCUUUUAUGAGCACAAUUAACUGCAAACACCUUGUCAUAAACAUUUUAAAAGGUCAACAGAUUGCAACAAUUUUGCUAAAGAGAUAAAUGGUCAAAUAAAACAUUGAAUUGUUAAUUCCCAGGUGACAAAAAGCUGCAUGAGUCAGAUCAAUAAGAAGACACAGAGUGAAUUCUGGGAUAAAGGGCGGGUCAACCUUGAAGCGUUAAUAACUCGCUCCUGUUGUUCUGCUCUGGCACAUCAUGUGUUCUAGCAGGUAAAUGAGCUGCUAAUAGCAAAGUAGUGCCCACAGACUCACAGAAGUAAAAGUGGGCGUCAGAGAUUAUUGAAAUGGGAAAAAUAAAUUAAAAAAAAAAAAAAAAGAAAGAAAGGACUUAGCUCUGUUAACACCAGGAAAAACAAUGAGUUUAUAGCAGACAGGUAAGAGCACAAUCUUCCUACUAUUUCUAAUCUAACGUGUUAGUCAACUGCUGGGUAGGGCGUAUGCUUUCUCUUUCUCUCUUUCCAGAUUUUCUCCUUUCAACCUUAAUCUUAAUGCUGGGCUUUUAUUAAACAGUGUCUGUUGAAAACAUACUGCUUUACUUAAGAGAAUUUUAGGAAAUGGUUGUAUUAGGCAACAAAUGAGUGUGCUGACAUGAUGUUCAGGUGGUCUGUACUGUCAGAGAUGUUGUUACGGAAUUAGAACGAUGUGUAUCAGCUUAAAAUCUGCCCCACAGAAUACACCAGUGUUUGUGGAAGGUCAGACAGAGAAAUUAGCAUCCUUGACAGAUAUAUGCUCAUCUAAGAGGCAGAUUCCUUUUGGUGUUUCUAUAGCAGAUGACGCUGCCACCCUUGUGCUCAGCAUUCCUGUCAGCUGGAAACAGUAUUUUAUAAGUUAGUCCUCCUUUUUCUGGGGAACUCAUGCCUUCCUGUCACUUAACUGGCCAUUCAAAUCAAAAUGCAAGUUGGAAAUUGAGAAUGUGCCACUGACAAUUGAAAUGUGAAAAUUUGGAUAAGAGCAUCAUCAAGUCAGAAUACUGGGCAUGAAGGAGGGACUUACAGAAUCCUGCAGGUGACUCUCUGUUUUCUAUAACUCACCCCACGCGAUAUGAUAUUAACUGGAUUACAGUAAAAGUCCUACAAAACAGAUUUUGCUGUUAAAACUCCCCCCCAUCCCAUUUUGUGACUACCUUUAGAUGAGAUGACUGUUUGCUUUUUUUUCAAAUUGUUAAAAUUUCCCUUCUGUCUUAUUCAUAAAAUUCCUACAUAGAGCAGCUAAAUGCCAAAUAUGUCACUUGGAACUGUUUAUUGAAUGACUGUGGCCAGAAGCUGGCUCUUAUUCACCCGUGAGGUAGAAUGGGCUCCUAUUUUCACUUUAUUCUUGGGAACAAAGUGAGGAGAAUCUGAGGCCAUUGGAAAGAGACCACCUGAAGAACUCUUCCCUAAAGCAACUCUAUUUUUUCAGACCUUUACAGGGAAGAAUACAAAAUUUGCAGCCUACGUGCCAAGAAAAUCGGCUUACCAUUAUUUAAUUAAGGAUAUCUUGGAAUAAAAGACAGACUUUUCAAAGAAGACUAUGAAACUUACAGAACUAAAAAUGAAAAAAACAUGUAAAGUCCAUCAGGAAUCGGUAGCUUCUCAUACUUAAAGAAAAAUAUCUACCACCAUUAUGGGAAGGUCUGAGGAACUCAAAACAAAGCAAAGCAUUAGUUACUGGUAUAAAAUAUAGACAGCAACGUCUAUAUUGAUCCCACUGGACACUUGAAGCCAAAUGAACAUUUGAAAGGUCAGUAAUUUUACUUGUGCCAAAUUGGAUGUUUGUCAUUUGUAUCAGACCGGAAGGCAAAUAUCUGAGUAAAUUCAUACGUAAAUUUGAUUACCCCAUAGCUCUAACAGCAAUCUUAUGUCAUCUGACAUGAAAAAUGAAGAGAAAGCACAUAAUCCCAUAUAGCAUGCUGAUCUAAGGGUUGCACAUAGCAUAGAAAUACAUUACAUGGCAAAUGCCUAUUUUUGCAAGCUUUAUAAAUGCCACAAAAACAUGUCUUCCUCUGACAGCAAAUUUUAAGGUUCUGUUGGCUACUCAUUAAAUGAUUUUACAGAUGGAGAUAAACCCUAUUCUUUUAGUGCACUUCAGAAAUAUCUGUUGGGUCUUAGGCAGACUGUAAUUUAAAUGGAUUUAUUUUUAAUUGGUUUUAAUAUUUAAACAAAAAAUUGACUCAAUCAGUUUCCUAGUCAACUCUGAAGCGUGAUUUUAGCUUUAAGAAGAGAAAGGCACAGAACUGUAUUUUUGCAAAAAGAAAAAAAUAUAUAUUUCCACUUAGUGUCUUCUAAAGACAUCACUUGAUACAUACAGCACGAGGCCUCAAGGCUCGAUCAAUCAAUGGCAGUUAUGCCACUAAAAUUAAUGGCUACAGGACGUGACUCAGGUGAGAUUUUCUUUUCCUGGAGUAUUUAAAAUUUAGAGAGUAGCCUGAGAGAUUUCUACAACACAGAUAUAAUGGUAAUAAAUAACAAUCACUAAAUGGAUCUGUCCAAUAUGGCAGAGGAAACAACGGUAAAAUAGUUCAAGCAGAUGUUAAGGCGGUAUCUCUCGUGAUGAAAUCAGCUGACAUCCUCAGAAUACACAUGAACGGUACAAAGGACAUGAACUGACAUCCUACCCUUCUGCAACCCCUCAGGGUUUAUAGCACUUCUGCAAAAUUUCUGGUGACUUCCAGCCCCAUUCUUCCACAACCCAGGUACCUGGAAGCUGCCCCGAUCCACUUUUAUUUCCACAGCCAUCAUCUCCUACACCACUCCUCUUUAGGAAGGUGGAAAAAAAAGAUUGAUGCAAAACUAUACACUGGCACCUAUUGGAAUCUGUGUGACAAACUGCACCCAUCCUUCAGGGAAACACAAAACAGACAGUGACUACCGCAUGGACCUUCCUUUGUCCGUGACACCUAGGAAAGGAAAGCGUUCAACACUGGCAGCCUAGGGGUUAGCAGGACACGAGAGCCCCCGGCAAUGCUUCCCUCCACUGCAAAAUUACAGCUAUGCUUCGCUGCCUUUCGCUGCACCCCAGGGUACAGGAAAACAAAAAGUCCAACAUCGCCUCUGCUCUUUUGUUGCUGUGAUUGUAAAGAUACCCAUGUUAUGGUCCACAGAUUUCUGGCUAGCGUGAAGAUCACACUCUGACAGGCCUACAAAGAAAGAGUAAAAGAUUUUUUUAGGCUUCCUCCAAUGCGAUUAAGUACAGGUUGCUAUCAAAGAAAGUCCAUUACGGUGAUAGUCUGCAGGGCUACCUCUGAACCCCUACCUACAAUUGAGCUCUGGUUAGCUAUCAUUAAUAUUUCAAUUUCAUCACUUGCUGCUAAUUUCGUUUGUUGGGCUACAUGACAUCAAAAGCAUAUAAACGAGGUGCUUUGACACCCUACAACCGUCCAGUACCACACUUUGCUGCUGCUGUUUGCUUUAUUUAGCUAUGCACACCUGGUUUCCCUGGAGCCCUCACUUCCACAAGAAGCAUGCACACGAGCCUUUUCUUUGCAGGCUCACUCGCUCUCUGACACCCAGUCUGACUGUCGGGCCCACCGUUUGAGCCAGGAAGCUUGUAACAUAUCAAUAGUGGCACAGAAAGUUUCCUCACAUAACAGAAGACAGAACAAGCCGUUUUUAAAAUCACAGCUUCUCACUAAUUUUAAAGACAAUAUAAUUUACAUCACUUGAGAUAUGCCAUGAAAUAAUCUGUUUUGCACGAUGUUCUUUUAACCAAUACACACCACUGACAUAACUAAAGUGCCCUUGGUCUGCCCAGAGAGGAAAGUUAACAGCGUGUGUUAUGUGCCUUGUAGUAAUCCUAGUGGAGCACGAAUGUUAGCUUAUUAAAGCAAAUCCCAUCUACUAAAUACCCACAAAGAACUCGAUAGCCCUGACCGACUGCUAUAGUGGUUUUAAUGCCUCAAAAUUCUAACACCGGUUUUUACAAACUGAAUAAUGUGAUAGCCCCACAGGAUAGCAGCUUAACCAGAAAAGCUCUGCGUUGCACAAAUGCAGCCUGAAGUGCAACUAAUUCUUGUGCAGUUUUCCUAAUUAUAUCAAACAAACGUGAUGUGACCCCGUAACUGCGGUCACGUUAAGGCGAGAGUGCGAACCGCUGUGACAGCGCACGUCCUGUGCCUCCCAGCUCCUCCUGUUCCAUUAGCAAGCCCCCGACCUCCCGCGGGACCCCAGCAGCAGCUCCGAGCAGCACAAAGCAGCAGGAGCAGCAUGGAGCAGGUGCUGCAGCUCGCUGCUGCCGUGGUGCACAGGGAGGGAGAGCCGUGGCUCUGCUCCCUACCUCUGAAUUGCCACGACUUGGAGGAGCCUCGCUCCUCUCGCAGGGCAGCUUUAGGAGUGGAUCCUGUGCUUAUCAGGGGUUAUACUGUUACAUAGUUAGACAACCGGUAAGGCUGGAAGAGACACGGCCUAAAGCGCUUCUGUGAUUAGACGCAAAGUCCAGCAUGCGGUACAUUUAAUGGAGGCACAGCAAAAUGAAAUACAUAAAUGUAAAUAAGUUGCCAUCCAGUCAUGCUGCAAUCACAGCACCGCCGUGCUCAGCUCAGACAGCAGUGAGACACAAUGGGAAAACACACACUCUGCACCGUAUCACUUGUGAAGAAUACUGCUUAGCAGUGACGUAACAGCAGCCAUCCUGAUGGAAAGCAUCACCUGUGACUGGCCAUUUGUGGUGACACGUUGUUGACCAUUUGUAUCGUGCUGUCUCCCAUCCCUCUCCUUUCUGCUUUCCACGUGUCCUGUCCCCCUCCCUAACACUCAGUGCUCACCACCCUGAGGACAAAGGCAUUCAGCUUUGCUUUGUUUCUUGCACUGCCACAGUUCUGUGCCAGGCAGGUCGUUAUAGGUGUCUUAAGGAACCUCUAAAAAGCUGUGUUUUCCAUACAGCCGUAACAGUCUCCAGUACUUACUGGGCAAGUCAUGACAUUCCCAAGUGCUCUCAUUCAAAUCAAAUGGAACCAUUGGCAUCCAAAGUCAACAGCACCCUACAGGUGCAAUUACCUGUGCACAUGCCCUUAAAGUUGCAUUUUUAUGUAACCUCUCAAUGCAGACUACCUGCUCUGGUCCCCAGAAUGCAUUUUAAUGCCUUUCAGCACAAAACAAGACAAAGUGAGCACAAGCGUGAUGAAUCCUUCUGAUCCUCCAGCCAGCGCACUUGCCAAGGUAUUAAGCACAACUGCAUGAAUAUAAAACUGCAACGAGGCCGGAAUCAAAUGCUCAUUAAAAUCACACUGCUGACCUUUUAAAAUGACAAUAUAGGAGAGCUGUAGCGAAAAGAAACAGUGAGGGGACAAUAAUAUCGUGUUAGAGCUUUCUCAUCUGUGCGACAGUAAGCUAUGUGUCUCUUCUGCUAAAUAAACACAAGUUGAAAGAAUGUGAUGUUAGUCAGUAGAGGUAUAUAUAGUAAUAAUAUAAUAUUGCAAAAGGAAAUCCAGGCACGUUGUCUAAGACAUGGAAGAGUUGGUGCCUUCUAAAAUUCAGACCUUGCACAACAAUCCGUGCAGGAUUACACACCACUUUAUAUGGCCCGAUCUGAGCACUGCCAGCCCAGGUGGCCCACUGGGCAUACACUGCCAGGUCCUGCAAGCAGCACGUCUCCUUUGGCUCCUCAGGCAGUGGGAGGAAAGGGAGAGGUGUACGUCCCCAUCAUGCAAGGCUAUGCCAUGCAGGGCUGUGCCACCAGUACAGAGCUAACACAGCCAGCACUGCUCUGCCUGCUCCCAGAGACAUGGGCUGUUACGCAGCCAGCUCAGGCACUGACAACGCAAAACAGUUUUCUACUUCUUUCUCCAAACUACAGACAGCCACUUGGGUUCUUAGGAAUUUGGUACUGAAAUGGUGAUUUGUGCUGGUAAGAGGUGUAAAUGGUAAGAGGUGUAAACACACCACGCAUAUGCGGAACCACAUUUAGAGAAACAGCUUCUUACACAGCCCUCGGCACUGGCAAGCCAAGCCAUUUCGUCUGUUAUAUUCCUAUUUCCGUGUGUCUCAGUGUGUCUGUAAUAACACACAGAGCCCUCUGCCUUGGUGAAUUGUUAGCAACAUGUUAAAGAAACAUUCAUUUGGGUCUCCAAAGUCCUGGCAAACUUGGACCGAAUUCAGAGCAGGUGCCAAUUUAGGGCUGAAUAUAAACUAAUGAGACAUAAAAAUGUCCCUUUGGUCGUUCUUUUAUGAUGCAGCAGGGGGCCGUUUCUUCUCAGACAGCUCUUCCUAUUAAAUGUCCAUCAGUGAGAAAUUUGGAAUAUCCUCUGAGAGUGUUUCUUUGGGGAGACAGCUGAAACCUCCAAGCUGUGCAUCCCUUCAACACUCGUCUUAUCCCACAGUUCAUCUAACUUAGUUGUUCGGCCCCAUCUUUUCAGCUUUGGGCUUCAAAUUCUUUCCCACUCCCUGAGGCAUGCUAUAUACUUGUUUUUAAAAUCUUGGAGAAUACAAAAUAAUUUGUUCUCCUGCCCAGCGUCUACAGAGUUAUUUGGGAACAGCGGGAUUUCUUUAAGGCUCCUGAUUGAGUUUCUCAUUUAAGUGCAGAAAAGCAACUUCUAUUCUGCACCCCUCUCAGCAGAUUGUAGUAAAAGAGGAGAGGGAAAAAAACAAACAGCAAAGCUCUGACAGAUGGUACCCAGCGUUUGACUCAUGCUGGGCUCAGCAGGACCUAUAGUUUAGAAGGUUAGGACUGUCAAAAAGACUCUGCUUAUCAAGUGAGUAACAAAGUGUGGACUGCCAGGCUGUUUCCUAUAGAAAACUUGCAUUUUACAUGUAAUUCUCAGCUAUCUUUCUGAUGCUUCCGAAACUUCUGAGGAGCAGAUGCAUGCUUUUCUAUUUAAGAAGCAGUGGGAAGCUGCCCUGCUGGGAGCAGCCGGCAGCACGGCCGGCCGGGGGCUGAGGGGACCUCCGAGUAAACCAGGGAGCAAGGGCAGGACUCUUCUUCUUCAUUCUCCUUCUCUCGCAGUUCAUUCUCUCUUCAAUCCUUGCCCCAGUCUGAGGACUGCCUUAGCAAAGCGAUGUGGCAAAAUGCAAGCAAAGGCAGAAGGGUCAGAGCACGAGGCAGCGCUUACCAGGCUUUUCUUUUUAAGUCAUUUCCGAGCUCAUGCCAGUCAGCAUUUAUCGCAGCACAGAAGUGUCUGAUGUGACUACAAACAUUAGUGAGCAGACCUGAAGGCAAUCUGAAGUCUGGAGAAGUGCAAAUAAGAGGUUAACAGCUUGUACCCCUGUUCACUGGACCGUCAAACCCUCGACCCUGGUCAGUCAGUGCAGAGCUUUCAGUAACAGCAACACGCCAAGAGUUCAUUCUGCUAUUUAUGAGAGGUAUCCUGUACUUCGUAUCAAUCCACUCACUCUACAAACUGACUUCUAGCUACACGAGAGGCUGCAGUAAGAUGGUGCUGUGCUGUACAGUGCUCCUCCAUCCACUCUGCAAAGCCCCCCGGCAGCUGCCAGGAGAGGCCGCAGCUGUACAGAAGCUGAUGUAUAACCACACAAAGGCUGCACUGAAGCCAAGAUAUUUCAUAAUCUCCAUUUUAUUUCUUCGAAGCAAAACACAAGCUGAUUUCUCCAACACUGAAAGGAAAGAAAAUAGCCUCCACCCUGCUAAUGAUCCCUCAGGGGAGGCACCAUCAAGAGGCAACACUUCUUGUAGCAGAGAAAAGCCACGGCUGCUGCUGUCCCAGCAUGCAACAUCAGCCCUGAGAGUUAUCUGCAGCCCACAGACAUCAACUAAUCUCAGCGGGUGAGGAACGAAGCCUCUCCCCAUGGGAACUCAGCUGAUUCAGGGAGGGCGGUGAGCAGCAAAGGAGGUUUCUGAAAACAAACCACUGAGCUUCCCAGAGCCCCAAUAAUGUCCAUGCACUCCCCAGAGGGGAUUUGCAGAAAGACAAGAAUAUGGCUGGACAGAAAGACACACAGUUGGAAACAUCCAUUGAAUGUGGCACUGGGAACAGGGAAGAAGGCAAAAAGGAGACAUUUAUUCUUUUUCCAUGAUUGUUUUAUUCUCUCAUUUCAAACCUCUGUCCCAAUUCAACUCCUGUCUAAUGUGCCUGCAGUGACAACCAGAAAAAAUGGCAUUAAUUGUAUUUAUCUCAAUUUACCUUCUUCUUGCUGCCAAGAGAGCAUCCAGUCAUUCUUGACCUGGAAAACCUUUGCCAUCUCAGAGGGAUAGCAGCAUUUCCAUUACUCUCCUACUCCCUAGUUCAGCCUUUCCCAGAGAACAGAGCACAAAUCCAAUGUUCCACCAGGUCUGCUACCAAAGAAAAACCACAUUCAUUUAUGACAAAAGCAUGGGUGAAAAUCAAAGUAGUAAGAAGGAGGAAACAUUUGAAAAGUCAUGAAAUACUAACAUGAUGAGUCUCCUACUCUGUUCUUGCUGCUUUUGAAAGGAUUAAAAUCGAUAUUGGUAUUUCCAAGGAAUUUCUAUGCACAAAAAACUUAAUCUGAGCCAGGCCUUCAUGCCAAUAAAAAUGAUUGUAAUGGUGUCAGAACAAAGAUCCAUCUAAUCCACCAGGUGGUAACUAAAAGAAGAUGCCAGAGCAAGGUAAGCACAGUGAUACUUUCCCAAAUGCUCUUCCAGGCUCCAACAAUUUGUGGCUCACGAACUCUCUGAGACAUAUGUUGUCAUGUAUUUAGUAUCCCUAACAAACUAUUUUUCCUGAGCUUGUCCUGCAUCCCCUUGAACCUAGUUAUGCUCCAGUAUCCAUAAUAACUGAGGCAAGGAGCCAGUUUAACUACACACUGUUAGAAGAAUGACUUCUACCUCCACUCAGUAGAGCUUCCUUCAAGCUUUCCUUAGUACAAAAACCUAACAGCUGAGUAUGCAUGAAAAACACUGGCUGUUCCUAAAAAUCUGCUUGAAUUUUAUCAUAUUAUUCCACAAUUCCUGCUGGAAAUGGGAGAAAAAAAAAAACAAAGAAAAAAAAAUAGGGAAAAGAAAACGUACAAAAAAACCAAACCAAAACAAAACUGAGCAAGUAGGAAAGAAAAGAAAGUGACUACCUGCAAUGAAACAGGUCACUGUAUCAAAACAGAGAAUCUGCAAUUCCUACUUUAAGGACCCAAAGAAUUCUCCCAGACAAGUUUACACAUCUUUUGAAUAUCUGCCCAAGUAUCUCAGCAAGUAGAAAGAUGUUUAAAAUUACCAUUCCCUCUCUCUCUUGACGGCAUACUUGGAGAUGGUUAGAUGCCGUAUUUAUUCCAUCAGGCUCAUGAAAUAAGUCACACCCAAGAAAUGUGCUCCAGAGAUGCCCAUUUCAGACAGUAGAGUAUGACUAACAAGCACGGAGGUCUGUGGUCUUCCCAGUUUUGGUCAAUCCACCUCCCACUUGGACCAUAUCUCAGCACAGACAGGGAAGCCGCACAAAGCUGUCCACCCUUUUGGAUGACUCUACAGUCCUGAUGGAGCAAGAGCUUGGGGCACACACUGCAGUUAGCCACCCACACACAUAGGUUUAUGCACUUUCUGAUGAUUCAUAAACCCAGAUCUAACAGCAGAAUUGAGCCUUUUGUUCAUUAAUUUGGAAUGAAGCAGCAGCUAACAUUUUUUACAGAUGACUGUCAAGGCAAAAUCCUGGACUGAACAAUUCUGCUUAUCUAAAAUGAAUUUCAGCUACACCCUUUAAGGCAAAGCCAUCUCUAUUAAAAGAAAUAAAGAAAAUCCCUAAAUCAUAAUCCUGGAACAUUCAGCCAGAUUCUGUACUCUGUGCAGUCCAUUGUCUAAAUUUUGCAGGGAUCCUCUUUACAACAAAUAUUAUUACUGUGCUACAUAAUCCCUACCCAAGGUGGACUAGUUAAAGAUGGAUCUGUGUAUUCUUAACUGCAAAUUCUUCAGCUUUUGGGUGUUCUUGCUGAGUCUUUAAUAACAAAGCUUUGAAAUUUAAUUACUGUCUUAACAGUUGCAACUAUUAUACUUGAGAUAAAUGCAAGAUGAGUAACAAGCAUGUAAAGGGGGAAUUAACUUUAGUCAAAAAGGAAAUAUAUGAGUAAAUUUUUAUUCAUCAAUAACAAAAUUUAACAAAAUUAACUUUAGUGUUAUAUAUGUCAAGUCCAAUUUUCAAACCACUGGAGAUCUUCCUUCUCACUCCUUCCAGCAAAUUCUAUUCAAUCACUAAUUAUGAAUGAGAGGAAGAGCUGCAAAUCAAAACCAGGAAGGUGAGCAGGCAGUGAGAAGAUGCACAACUGCCAGUUGACUUUACUGCAAGCAUAAUGUGGAAAACGUGCAGCACAGCCACUCAGAUGACUGCCCAUAACAUUCUGAAGAAUUACAUCAGAAGAGAAGAUGACCACACAAGAUUACACUGGCAGACAGCUAAACGAGUCUAAUGCACAAAGCUAGCAUGAGAGGGGCUACGGACAGACAAAAGGCUGCUCUGACACAAAGAUACAUUACCACAUUCCCUUAUUUACAGAAGAGGAAGGAUUAACAAACUGUGUUUCAGCAAUAGAGAGGAGGAAAGCAUUUCCAGACUUUUUUAUAUGAUCAAUCAUUUUCUAUGACCUCCCCACAGCAUUGUUGCUCAUAUUUGCAAAAAAGAACACCAAAGAAGACACUGAAAAAGUAGAACCAGUUAGCAGUCUUCUAUCUUUACUGCUGUUUACUUGAUGACGUAGGCAAAGUUUUAGGCAAUAAUGUGCCUGUGAAAAUGGAUGGGGCCCUGGACAGCCUGACCUAGUGGGUGGCAACCAGCCCAUGGCAGGGAGUUGGAAGUAGAUGGGCUGUAAGGUCCCUUCCAACCCAAGCCAUUCUUAGUUGAUGGUUCUAUGCACAGUUGCAAAUGUAAAGUGUAAACAGAUCACAGCAUACACUGUAUAUAUUCAACAAUAUUUACAAAACUAUACAUUUAGAUGUCAGUUCUGCAAGUGAGUUGACUUUCUCAUGCACCCAUGUAUAUUCAUAAAGCAAUACUUGUCCACUGAGUACAAAAUACCAAACAAGACUACAGGAUUAAAUUUCUCUAGAAUAUUUAGUAAAAUAAAUUAAUUUUGAUAACAUAAGACAUUGCAAUGUUUUUUCUUAGGCACAGCAGGUGCUGCAAGAUGGAGAGAGAGACACAUGACACUAUUUUGUGCUUUAAGUAGCAGGAUUGGGAACAUUAUCCGUGUAAAAAAGAAAUAGUUACUGGGUCAAAAGCAUUGGCCUCUGAGAGCUUUCUUCAGAUAGAAAUAAUAUCCCAUUUGGACAAACUUUUCUUCCUCCUUCUAUAAGCUUCUUCUUUACUCUUCUGCUAUUUUCCAACAUAUUCUAACAGCUAUAUUAUUUCUGUAUGUAUCAAUUUAUACUAUUUAUGAACACCUAUGUAUAUCAUUACACACAUAAAAAUAGUGUUGAAAGAAUUUAGAAGUCCAGCCUCCAAAUGUCAGGAAAUGACAGGAUUCAACUUGCACAUUAAUACACACUUAAAAAACGAUAACAGCGACAACCAAAAAACCUCUUCAUGGUUUCUACACAUAUGAGCACAAAAGAUGUCGAGAAUAUAUAGGAUACCAUGAUCCAAAAUGUCUUUGUAAUACAAGGCAUGCUGGUCAUAAGAAGAUUUCGAGAUCUUUUUACUUCUUUUGCUAGAGAUUCUUCAAAUAUCAAAUAUAAUAUAACGGCAGUGUUGUUUCUUUCUAAAUGCAGUACUAAAACUGAUAGGGAACUUCUAAGCUUCUGUGUUCUGUAAGGCAGAACAUUAGCUUAAGAUUGUAAAAAAAAAAAUCACUGCAAAGUUCAGUUUUUACCCAAUUUACACUGAAUUUCUAAAACUAAGAAUCCCCCUCUUCAUCUUAAUACUCUCACCAAAGAAAAACUUUCUGACAGAAGCUAGAAACUUUCUGUCAUCUAAAAUUUUACGUACUAAGUUCACAGAAUUCAUAUUCUCAUCCAGUGGAACUAGACUUCUGUAUUUCCAAUCUUCCUUCAAACGAAGACAUUACAGAAAGGCUCCCAAGCUUGCCAGUUGUGACACGUAAGUUAUUACCUCUAUGAGUCACUAAUUUUAGGUUCCAUAGAAAGUUCAAGGUCACCUAAUUAUGUGAUUGAUUAUAUCUCAUCUUGGAAUUUUGAGGAUCUCCUCAAGAGUAGUAUCUCCUCUGAUAAAUCAACAGGAAGACAGUUUCAGACCAUUCUGCCCAGAGAACUCUAGGCUUACAGGCUCUUUUGAGAAACCAUCAGCACUGCAACUUCUCCAAGCCCUGUGAAUGCACUGCGCUGGCUGAGAUUGCAACCACCAAGAACUCUGCCAGUUUGUUGCCAAAGUCCUUUACGUAGAUUCACAAUUGCAACUUGUAAAUUGCAUGCAGAAACAGCUAAAGCUCUUGAAACUCAAAAACAUUUCUAGCUUGACCAGUGUGGCCAGCAGGGUUGUAAUUUCUGUGAAUCUAGUAUCUGGGGUUCUUGGAAUUUACCAGCUCUGUUGGCAAAACAGUCACAUCUUGUAAUUGCCAUGUGAACAGGAACGAGUUUCAAGGAACUUACAAGCUCCCCAGGACAGCUGGAGGAAACUGCAAAUGUAGUUCGACAGAUAACUAGUGUUCAUGGAAAUUUGCCAAGCCUUUUCGGAAAACAAAUCAUAGUUCAUGAUGGUUACAGUAUUUCAGUGUUGGAACUACAGUGAGGUCCCCUGCAGAGGUUGUACUCCCUGCUGAAUGCCAGAAUAAGACUCUGUCUUUGCUGGAAAUCUAAGUUGCAUUCUUGGCUGUGUACCUAAAGAAGAACAGAAACUUCCCUGGAGAUCUCUGCAGAUUCUACCAUAUGCCUGAAAAAUACUGUAAAUGUUGAUCUAAUGCAAAUUGACUUCAACAGGUAAACUGUUGAAGAUGUAAUCUGUAUCAUUUAUCUCACAUCAAAUAAAACAGGCACCAGAGGAGCAAGCAAGGGUUGAACCCUCAUAGUUCUGGAAGGCUUGAUGAAAGGUUCGUCUCCACAUGAAGCAGAGCAGAAGACUGUGCAAAUAGAAGUGAAGAGGAUCAACGUAGCACUUGGAAAAUAAUUGUUUCAAUUGUGGAAAAUAAUCUAAGACAAAGCCAUCAGUUUUAACAGUUCCAUACAACAGAAAGUUCGAGUAUCAUCAUAUCCCAGUCUCAGAGAUGAUCUCUCUUCCCAAAAUGAGCUGAAGCAUAUAUCCAAAUCUAAAAUUCUUUAAUACAUUGACAAUUUUUGGAACAAGCUCUGGAUAUACAGCCCGGGGAGCUCUUCUGUACAUUGCAUGAUAUGAGAAUUGUGAAAGACCUUUUCCCCAGAGAACACGAUGCCUGUGGUCUGUUGUCUAAUAUUUCAUCUUUCCAUUUCUGGGCUGACAUUUGAACUGUAACUAUACAGUUCUUUUUAAAAUAUUUGCACAUUUUUGUUCUCCUUCCAGUAAACACUCAGCUUUUCAACCACUAUGAGCACUGGAUUCAAACACACCUCAUGCUGCCAUUUUACCACUAGAGGGCAGCUCAAUAUUUAUUGAUCGUUCUCAUUAGCUCAAAGAAUUAAUUUCACUGCAUUCCUAACCAAUGGGUCUACAACACAUAACUUCAGCUCGAGAGUCUUAUAAGAACCUUCAUUGUUUUAAGGAAAAACACGGUGGUUGCUAUUUGAAUCACUAGCUUAUCAUGUAGUGCCCUUUAAGAGGUAUGCAGUAUCCCUAUACACCAAUUUCCAAAGGAACUGUGCUCAGUUUUGGAAACAACCCUAUAUUUUGCCAGGGUUCCAUUUGUUUCAUUGGUGUAUUUCUUAUCUCAUAGGCUUAUGGUGUUUCUCUGCUGCUUGUAAGUCCAUAUGCUUUAAACAGCAACAACAGCAAUUUAUCAAAACCCGUGUUUUUAAAGGUCAGCAUUCUUUUAUUAUGCACAUUUACUUAAAACCACAAAUCUAUGUUAAGCAAUUUUCAACAGAAAAGAACUGUCUGAUUCAAGUUUCCUUAUUUUUUUCUUUUUUCUCUGCUAUCAAGUCCUCUGUAAUAUGUAUAAAACUCCACCGGUGUCAGACCACACCCUCAAACCAACAUUUAGGACAUUUAAGAUUUGCCUAUUUGUAUGUUCUCCUCUUUAAACUCAUCCAUCCUGAGCCAACAAGUGAUCGCUGUCAAUCAGAUCACAGGAGCUCUCCCACUGACCUCAUACUCAGCUCCAUUCCUUGCUCGGGGUCGGCAGGCUCCACCACACCUCUACACACAGUUUAAGUCAAUGUCUGAUUUAAAUGGGGCUCUAACCACAGAUCUGCACAGACAGAAAGCAAAAGCAUCCUUCAGAUAAGCCCCACAGAAGUUUUCCCAUCCCAUCCUCUUCAAGUGACUCAACAGACAAUGUUACCACAUCUCUUGGUGCCCUUAACUGACAAGUUCCCUUAAUUUUGGUCCUUUAUUCUUCUGAAAGCAGCCAUGAGUUGUAUGGAUUACUGGGGUUUCAAAGCCAGCAACUAAUUGUGCCAUCAUACUCAAGCAAAGUGUGGAUUGAGUUUCCAGCCUCAUUCAGAGACCCAUCCCCUCCUCUUACCCCUUCCACAACACACUUCGCACUGCUGCACAGCAUUAGUGUAACAGAAAAAGAAUUUUUUUCUAAGAGUACCAUAUUAAAACAUUAUGCGAU